AAUUGCCCUCCCUGGCCUGCGGCCGCCCGGUCCUCCUUCCCAGCCCAGUGGAGCCAGGCACCCGGCUUCGGCUUGCUCAGGUCUCUGUCCGGGACUGGGAAGCCACGGAGGGCCUGGAAAGUGGCACACUCCUGGAGCUCAAGCUUCCUACUCUCUCAUCGCUGAAUAACUACCGGGCAGGACUGGGUGGAACAGACAACAUAUUUAGUUAAAAAUUCAGAUUGAACUAUCUUACAAAUGGCUCCCAGAAGAUCCACUCCCUGUGGGAGCACAGCAGUUGUGGAGGUGAAGACAGGACUGGACCCAGAAUAAGAGUUCAAAUAUGUGGGGAAAUCUGACCUCUAAAUUCUUAUAAGUCAGAGAGUGACUGAACAACAGCAGUGAGACAUUGAAGAGUUUUAAAUCUGCGGUAAACCUUGGCACAGAUCACUUACUUCUCUAAGACUGAAUCCAAAAAGCACAAUGGAAUACUAUAAUAAGCUGAGACAGCAUGGUGAAUUCCAGACAAGCCUGAGCAUUCCCUAUAGCCAGAGAAGGAGGCCCAACACCUAACAGCCU
rnacentral:sRNA from 1 species